rnacentral:misc_RNA from 1 species
GAUGAAGAACGCAGCGAAAUGCGAUAAGUAAUGUGAAUUGCAGAAUUCAGUGAAUCAUCGAAUCUUUGAACGCAUCUUGCGCUCCUUGGUAUUCUGAGGAGCAUGCCUGUUUGAGUGUCAUUAAAUUCUCAACUACACUGACUUUGAAUUGGUGUGGCUUGGAUUUGGGGGGAAAAUUGUUGUAGGCUUUUUGUAUAGUCUGCUCCCCUGAAAUUGAUUAGCGGUACCUUUGUGGAACUGUCUACAGGUGUGAUAAUUAUCUACAUCUUAGACAUCUGCUGGAAUGCUGCUCUCUAAACCUUACUUGUAUUGACAAUCUUGACCUCAAAUCAGGUAGGACUACCCGCUGAACUUAAGCAUAUCAAUAAGCGGAGGA